UCCAGUCUCUCGGUAACAGAUCUAGCUUGCUAGAUGCUGACGAGCGGCGGACGGGUGAGUAACGCGUAGGAAUCUACCUAGUAGUUUGGGAUAGCCAUUGGAAACGAUGAUUAAUACCGGAUAAUCUCUUAGGAGCAAAGUAUGGGACCUUCGGGCCAUACGCUAUUAGAUGAGCCUGCGUUGGAUUAGCUAGUUGGUGGGGUAAUGGCCUACCAAGGCGACGAUCUAUAGCUGGUCUGAGAGGAUGAUC
rnacentral:rRNA from 1 species